CCUACGGGUGGCUGCAGUGGGGAAUAUUGGACAAUGGGGGCAACCCUGAUCCAGCCAUGCCGCGUGUGUGAAGAAGGCCCUCGGGUUGUAAGGCACUUUCAGUGAGGAAGAACGCCUGGUGGUUAAUACCCAUCAGGAAAGACAUCACUCACAGAAGAAGCACCGGCUAACUCCGUGCCAGCAGCCGCGGUAAUACGGAGGGUGCGAGCGUUAAUCGGAAUUACUGGGCGUAAAGCGCGCGUAGGUGGCUUGAUAAGCCGGUUGUGAAAGCCCCGGGCUCAACCUGGGAACGGCAUCCGGAACUGUCAAGCUAGAGUGCAGGAGAGGAAGGUAGAAUUCCCGGUGUAGCGGUGAAAUGCGUAGAGAUCGGGAGGAAUACCAGUGGCGAAGGCGGCCUUCUGGACUGACACUGACACUGAGGUGCGAAAGCGUGGGUAGCAAACAGGAUUAGAUACCCCAGUAGUC
rnacentral:rRNA from 1 species